UUUUAGACAUAAAAGUUCAGCGAUAUAGACAUGUCUAGUAAAGAAGCAGAAUGGAUAAAAUAUUUUACUUUACAUUCAUAAAUCCUACAGUCCUUAAACUUCUCUGAAUUUAACCUGUUCUUGGGAUGUGUUGAAAAGCCAUUGAGAAGUGAAAUUGCAUUGUUUAUCUUCAUCUUUCUUAGAUGCCAGGUCCUUGAAAGGAAAAAUUCUGCAAUCCCAGCAGAGCUGAAUGAAAAGCAAGAGCUUGUUUAUAAUAACAAGAAGCUAGAGCUGCAAGUGGAAAGCAUGCGAUCGGAAAUAAAAAUGGAGCAAGCUAAAACAGAGGAUGGAAAAUGGAGGUUUAUUGUUCUGAUUUUCAUGCUGAAAGAGCAGCAAGAGAGAAGAUUCAUGAAGAAAAGGAGCAACUAG
rnacentral:lncRNA from 1 species